GACGAACGCUGGCGGCGUGCUUAAAAACAUGCAAGUCGAACGGACUUCUCAUGAAGCUUGCAAUUGAGAAGUUAGUGGCGGACGGGUGAGUAACGCGUGGGCAACCUGCCCCUGAGCCCGGGAUAACAGUUCGAAAGGACUGCUAAGACCGGAUAUACUUGCGGGGAAGCAUUUCUCUGUAAGGAAAGGGAACGCUCAGGGAUGGGCCCGCGUCCCAUUAGCUAGUUGGUGAGGUAACGGCCCACCAAGGCGACGAUGGGUAGCCGGCCUGAGAGGGUGAACGGCCACACUGGGACUGAGACACGGCCCAGACUCCUACGGGAGGCAGCAGUUGGGAAUUUUGGACAAUGGGGGCAACCCUGAUCCAGCCAUGCCGCGUGAGUGAAGAAGGCCUUCGGGUUGUAAAGCUCUUUCAGGUGGAAAGAAAUACGCAUCUUUUAAUACAGGGUGUGGAUGACGGUACCAUCAGAAGAAGACACCGGCUAACUACGUGCCAGCAGCCGCGGUAAG
rnacentral:rRNA from 1 species